rnacentral:lncRNA from 1 species
CCUGCAGGCGUGGCAUCUGCAUAUCGGAGCUGUUGUUAUUCACUUUUGUUUUGCAGGGCCACGUUUGUAUCUUUCGCACGAGAGAAGGAUGCAGCAUCCCUAGCACAAAUCUAUUGUUCCAUCAUCUGCCACACAUAUUGCAAAGAACUCUGAAUGGUAGAUGAUCCUACGGUGGAUCCAUGCGACAGGAAGAUAAAUACCUUCGUGUGAAAGACACAAC